rnacentral:rRNA from 1 species
CCUACGGAGGCAGCAGUGGGGGAUAUUGCACAAUGGGGGAAACCCUGAUGCAGCGACGCCGCGUGAGUGAAGAAGUAUUUCGGUAUGUAAAGCUCUAUCAGCAGGGAAGAAAAUGACAGUACCUGACCAAGAAGCCCCGGCUAACUACGUGCCAGCAGCCGCGGUAAUACGUCGGGGGCAAGCGUUAUCCGGGUUUACUGGGUGUAAAGGGGGCGUAGACGGUUAUGUAAGUCUGGAGUGAAAGCACAAGGCCCAACCCCUGGACUGCUUUGGAAACUGUGUAACUGGAGUUCAGGAGGGGCAGGCGGAAUGCGUGGUGUAGCGGUGAAAUGCGUAGAUAUCAGGAGGAACACCGGCGGCGAAGGCGGCCUGCGGGACUGAAACUGACGCUGAGGCACGAAAGCGUGGGUAGCAAACAGGAUUAGAUACCCGAGUAGUC